CCCUUAGAUGUUCUGGGCUGCACACGUGCUACACUGGCAGGUUCAGCGAGCUUCAUGCCCUGAUCUGAAAGGAAUGGGAAAUCUUUUCAAAACCUGGCGUGCUUGGGAUAGAUGUUUGCAAUUAUUCAUCUUCAACGAGGAUUGCCUUGUAAGCGCACGUCAUCAGCGUGCAUUGAAUACGACCCUGUAUUCUGUACACACCGCCCGUCGCUCCUACCGAUUGAAGUUUUCGGUGAGUUGACAGGAGGAUUUUUUUGAAACUGGUUCGCCAGUGGAUUUUAGAUCCAAAUGCCAACGAAUCGAUGGCUUUAGAGGAAGGAGAAGUCGUAACA
rnacentral:rRNA from 1 species